GGGAACUGUAUAAUAACGUCUCGACCCCGACCUCGACCUCGACCCUACACAAAUAACCCGUCUGUAUCGAUUAUUUUUUCUCGCACCCACUUUAAAUAUGCACUCUUGUACAUUUAAUACAAGUAUAUUAAUAUAUACAGUCUUAAACGAUUCAACGUGUAAGAUAUUUAUCGCUGGGAAUAAUAACGAUGGUAACAUGUUUAUAAAUAAUUUAUAAAUAAAAAAAUUUGAAAUUUGUAAAUAAGUGUUCUUCCCCGCACAAAGGUUCUUGUACACUUCAGAGGUGGAAUUGGUGGUAGCGCCAUCACUCGUAACCGUCAGCUAGUGCUAACUCGUUCACAUU